rnacentral:misc_RNA from 1 species
UUGAAUAAAUCUGACGGGAUUGUAGCUGGCUCGUUAGAGCAUGUGCACGUCCUUGUCACCUUUAUAUUUCCACCUGUGCACUCAUUGUAGUCCUGGAUACCUCUCGUCGCAAGACGGAUGCGGAGUCUGCUGUUUCUUGGAAAGGCUAGCUCUGAAUUUCCAGGUCUACGAUUUUUCAUACACCCCAAAUGAAUGUUAUAGAAUGUAAUCAUAAGGCUUAGUGCCUAUAAAUCAAUA